GCGUGAGGGAAACGCCCGGUUACAUUCCGAACCCGGAAGCUAAGCCUCAAAGCGC
rnacentral:rRNA from 1 species